AACGAACGCUGGCGGCAGGCCUAACACAUGCAAGUCGAACGCACCUUCGGGUGAGUGGCAGACGGGUGAGUAACGCGUGGGAACGUGCCUUUCGGUUCGGAAUAACCCAGGGAAACUUGGGCUAAUACCGGAUACGCCCUCAGGGGGAAAGAUUUAUCGCCGAAAGAUCGGCCCGCGUCGGAUUAGCUUGUUGGUGGGGUAAUGGCCUACCAAGGCAACGAUCCGUAGCUGGUCUGAGAGGAUGAUCAGCCACACUGGGACUGAGACACGGCCCAGACUCCUACGGGAGGCAGCAGUGGGGAAUAUUGGACAAUGGGCGAAAGCCUGAUCCAGCCAUGCCGCGUGGGUGAAGAAGGCCUUAGGGUUGUAAAUCCCUUUCAGCGGGGAAGAUAAUGACGGUACCCGCAGAAGAAGCCCCGGCUAACUCCGUGCCAGCCGCCGCCGUAAGAC
rnacentral:rRNA from 1 species